UUUUUUUUUAAGUUAAAUGGGCCGACGUUUGGCCUCUAUCUCGCCUGAUGGUAAGUGAUGAUGCGGCCUACGAUGGAGCACGUCUGUCCAUAAGCAACCUAUUCACUCGGGCUUUGAAGACACCCAGGUUAUACCCAUCAGGAAACACAGACUCCGGCAAGGAGUUCCACUCCUUUUCUCCAUUAAUGUACGUGAGUAAACCGUGAUUUUUUAGUUAAUUUAGUAUGUCUCAUGAUAAUUAUUAUAAAGACUUGUAUACUGUAUAAUAUUUGUAACUUUUUGACGCAGCUAUGAAAAAUAAAUCUUUUAUACCAAUAAAUUAAAGUUUCAUAAUACCAA